rnacentral:sRNA from 1 species
UUCAUUGCGCUCCUUCUCCCUUCAGGGCAGGCAGGAGCAGGGAGGCAUGGAGGAGGGUGCACUUAUCCAGUGGCUGGAGUAGGCCAGGGGUUUGCCCCCCUGCUCUGACAGUUUCUCUGGAGUGCUGGUGUGCCACCUGGAAGCAUUCACAUUCGGUCACUUUAUUAUCCAGGGUUGCCCUGGGAGUUUGGCAGGAGAGAGGGAGCAAAAUGGGAGAGCGAGGGAAGCAUAUCACUGGAGAGGGAAGUAGAGAUGUGAUAUGAUCCGCAGGACGCCGUGCUCUGUCCUCAGUGCCCCCUCCCCAGAGGCUCCAACCCCUUCUGAGAACACAAUGGUCAGCCUCCUGUUCCUCACUGGCUUCUUCUUUGGGCCUGGAUUUCUGCAGCAGACCUGGAAGCCAUCACCGGGUAAUAUGGAGUCUACAAAGAGAUCAGUCCAUUGGAAGCCCUCCAGGAGCCCACCACUUAGAAGAGACUGACAAAAUGAACUCUGCUGUAAGGAAGGUGAAAGGAAAGGAGUUUCAAGGCUGAAGGUGCCU